UUUGAUAUCCCAAUAGAGAUGGGCAUGAAUCGCUGGUUUGUCAGUUUGUGACUUUUUACAAGUGGCUGAACAGGGGUUCACCCCUUCCCAGCCCCACCUUCUCUAGUGGGUGCCCACUCAAGAAGCAGCACCCUGGUUUUCCUGCCUCUGGGUGCUGCCUCUAAGAGGGUGGCCAGUGGAGGAGGUGGAGCUGGGAAGCACUGACCAUCUUUUCGGCAAAUAAACCAUCACAAAUUGUCAAAGUGUCAGUUUUUGCCAAUCUCUAAGAAUCCCAAGAAGGCUGACCGCCAAAGAAUUGAUGCUUUUGAAUUGUGGUGCUGGAGGAGACUCUUGAGAGUCCUCUGGACUGCAAGGAGAACAAACCCCUUCAAUUCUGAAGGAAAUCAACCCCGAGUGCUCACUGGAAGGACAGAUCCUGAAGCUGAGGCUCCAAUACUUUGGCCAUCUCAUGAGAAGAGAAGAUUCCCUGGAAAAGACCCUGAUGUUGGGAAAGUGUGACGGCAAGAGGAGAAGGGGAUGACAGAGGAUGAGAUGGAUGGACAGUGUCAUCAAAGCUACCAACAUGAAUUUGACCCAACUCCAAGAGGCAGUGGAAGACAGAAGGGCCUGGAGUGCUCUCGUCCAUGGGGUCACAAAGAGUCCAACACAACUUAAUGACUAAAGAACAAAAUUGAUUUCCAAAUUGUCACCCAUGCUCUUGGAGCUUUGAGAAGUAUUUUACGUCAGUCUUAUUGCUCUCUGACUGCUCAGGUGAAUCUAACAGAGGAUUUCACAUGAUCUUUCCUGCCCCUUUUCUUCUCAGCUCAACUGGCCCACUUGCCGAUGGCUACAAGAUUAUAUGUUCUCAUCCGGUGGCCAGAUGGAAGCCGUGUUAUCAACAUUGAAAACAUCAAAGAACCCCGGAAGCCCUUCCAUAUGUAUGCAGUUGGAGAGCAGGUUUUGGCCAGAUGUCCAGGGUUUACUGGUUUGUACUGGGGAAUCUUGAAAGGAAUCAGUGAGCAUAAAUAUGUCUUGGAGGAAAAACUACAAGAAGAUAAGGAAUUUCAAGAGAGGCUGGGUAAGAAGCUGAGAUCCUUGAAGUGAUCUGGUGUGGCAGAGCUCAGAGCAAGCCAAUUUUAAAUGAAACAAAAAGUAUGACAACAGGGUCAAAAUUCGUUGUUUUGUUGUUGUCUUUUUGGCAAGAAUUUUCCAAAAUUCUGAAGUCUCUUCCCAUUCUGAAUGGAAAGAAUAUCAGAGCUUCAAAUUUCUGUGUGUAUUUACCCCUCUUAUUAUGGAGUCUGGAUUCUGCCCCUCUUUUUAAAAACCAUGUCAUUGAUAUCUGUAUGGCAAACAGAUUCAGUAUCAUCCUCUCUGUGGAAUUGCUGUACUUGUUGAAUUUGU
rnacentral:lncRNA from 1 species